rnacentral:rRNA from 1 species
AGAGUUUGAUCAUGGCUCAGAAUGAACGCUGGCGGCAGGCCUAACACAUGCAAGUCGAACGGAUCCUUCGGGAUUAGUGGCGGACGGGUGAGUAACGCGUGGGAACAUACCCUUUGGUACGGAAUAGCCUCGGGAAACUGGGAGUAAUACCGUAUGUGCUCUUCGGAGGAAAGAUUUAUCGCCAAAGGAUUGGCCCGCGUUGGAUUAGGUAGUUGGUGGGGUAAUGGCCUACCAAGCCGACGAUCCAUAGCUGGUUUGAGAGGAUGAUCAGCCACACUGGGACUGAGACACGGCCCAGACUCCUACGGGAGGCAGCAGUGGGGAAUCUUAGACAAUGGGGGAAACCCUGAUCUAGCCAUGCCGCGUGAUCGAUGAAGGCCUUAGGGUUGUAAAGAUCUUUCAGUGGGGAAGAUAAUGACGGUACCCACAGAAGAAGCCCCGGCUAACUCCGUG